rnacentral:rRNA from 1 species
UACGAAGGGGGCUAGCGUUGUUCGGAAUUACUGGGCGUAAAGCGCGCGCAGGCGGCUAUCCAAGUCAGUGGUGAAAGCCCGGAGCUCAACUCCGGAACUGCCAUUGAAACUGUUUAGCUUGAGGAUGAGAGAGGUGAGUGGAAUUCCCAGUGUAGAGGUGAAAUUCGUAGAUAUUGGGAAGAACACCGGUGGCGAAGGCGGCUCACUGGCGCAUUACUGACGCUCAGGCGCGAUAGCGUGGGGAGCAAACAGG